AACGAACGCUGGCGGCAGGCCUAACACAUGCAAGUCGAGCGCCCCGCAAGGGGAGCGGCGGACGGGUGAGUAACGCGUGGGAACGUGCCCUUUGCUACGGAAUAGCCUCGGGAAACUGGGAGUAAUACCGUAUGUGCCCUACGGGGGAAAGAUUUAUCGGCAAAGGAUCGGCCCGCGUUGGAUUAGGUAGUUGGUGGGGUAACGGCCUACCAAGCCGACGAUCCAUAGCUGGUUUGAGAGGAUGAUCAGCCACACUGGGACUGAGACACGGCCCAGACUCCUACGGGAGGCAGCAGUGGGGAAUCUUAGACAAUGGGCGCAAGCCUGAUCUAGCCAUGCCGCGUGAGCGAUGAAGGCCUUAGGGUUGUAAGGCUCUUUCAGUGGGGAAGAUAAUGACUGUACCCACAGAAGAAGCCCCGGCUAACUCCGUGCCAGCCGCCGCGGUAAAAC
rnacentral:rRNA from 1 species